rnacentral:rRNA from 1 species
UCCAGGAGCAGGUACGUAACAACGGUGCUCCGUCUGAGUGUUGACCGGCGGAUCAGGUGAGUAACACGUGGAUAACCUACCUAUAAGACUGGGAUAACUUCGGGAAACCGGAGCUAAUACCGGAUAAUAUUUUGAACCGCAUGGUUCAAAAGUGAAAGACGGUCUUGCUGUCACUUAUAGAUGGAUCCGCGCUGCAUUAGCUAGUUGGUAAGGUAACGGCUUACCAAGGCAACGAUGCAUAGCCGACCUGAGAGGGUGAUCGGCCACACUGGAACUGAGACACGGUCCAGACUCCUACGGGAGGCAGCAGUAGGGAAUCUUCCGCAAUGGGCGAAAGCCUGACGGAGCAACGCCGCGUGAGUGAUGAAGGUCUUCGGAUCGUAAAACUCUGUUAUUAGGGAAGAACAUAUGUGUAAGUAACUGUGCACAUCUUGACGGUACCUAAUCAGAAAGCCACGGCUAACUACGUGCCAGCAGCCGCGGUAAUACGUAGGUGGCAAGCGUUAUCCGGAAUUAUUGGGCGUAAAGCGCGCGUAGGCGGUUUUUUAAGUCUGAUGUGAAAGCCCACGGCUCAAC